GAUGAAGAACGCAGCGAAAUGCGAUAAGUAAUGUGAAUUGCAGAAUUCAGUGAAUCAUCGAAUCUUUGAACGCACAUUGCGCCCGCCAGUAUUCUGGCGGGCAUGCCUGUUCGAGCGUCAUUUCAACCAUCAAGCCCCCGGCUUGUGUUGGGGACCUGCGGCUGCCGCAGGCCCUGAAAACCAGUGGCGGGCUCGCUAGUCACUCCGAGCGUAGUAAUACAUCUCGCUCAGGGCGUGCUGCGGUUUCCGGCCGUUAAAAAAGCCUUAUUUACCCAAGGUUGACCUCGGAUCAGGUAGGAAGACCCGCUGAACUUAAGCAUAUCAUAAGCGGAGGA
rnacentral:misc_RNA from 1 species